UGCAAGUCGAGCGGACAGAUGGGAGCUUGCUCCCUGAUGUUAGCGGCGGACGGGUGAGUAACACGUGGGUAACCUGCCUGUAAGACUGGGAUAACUCCGGGAAACCGGGGCUAAUACCGGAUGGUUGUUUGAACCGCAUGGUUCAAACAUAAAAGGUGGCUUCGGCUACCACUUACAGAUGGACCCGCGGCGCAUUAGCUAGUUGGUGAGGUAACGGCUCACCAAGGCAACGAUGCGUAGCCGACCUGAGAGGGUGAUCGGCCACACUGGGACUGAGACACGGCCCAGACUCCUACGGGAGGCAGCAGUAGGGAAUCUUCCGCAAUGGACGAAAGUCUGACGGAGCAACGCCGCGUGAGUGAUGAAGGUUUUCGGAUCGUAAAGCUCUGUUGUUAGGGAAGAACAAGUACCGUUCGAAUAGGGCGGUACCUUGACGGUACCUAACCAGAAAGCCACGGCUAACUACGUGCCAGCAGCCGCGGUAAUACGUAGGUGGCAAGCGUUGUCCGGAAUUAUUGGGCGUAAAGGGCUCGCAGGCGGUUUCUUAAGUCUGAUGUGAAAGCCCCCGGCUCAACCGGGGAGGGUCAUUGGAAACUGGGGAACUUGAGUGCAGAAGAGGAGAGUGGAAUUCCACGUGUAGCGGUGAAAUGCGUAGAGAUGUGGAGGAACACCAGUGGCGAAGGCGACUCUCUGGUCUGUAACUGACGCUGAGGAGCGAAAGCGUGGGGAGCGAACAGGAUUAGAUACCCUGGUAGUCCACGCCGUAAACGAUGAGUGCUAAGUGUUAGGGGGUUUCCGCCCCUUAGUGCUGCAGCUAACGCAUUAAGCACUCCGCCUGGGGAGUACGGUCGCAAGACUGAAACUCAAAGGAAUUGACGGGGGCCCGCACAAGCGGUGGAGCAUGUGGUUUAAUUCGGAGCAACGCGAAGAACCUUACCAGUCUUGACAUCCUGCUGACAUCCUAGAGAUAGGACGUCCCGUUCGGGGCAGAGUGGACAGUGGUGCAUGGGUGUCGUCAGCUGCUGUCGUGAGAUGUGGGUUAGUCGCGCAACGAGCGCAACCCUUGAUCGUAGGUGCCCGUCAUUCAGUUGGGCACUUCUAAGGUGGACUGAC
rnacentral:rRNA from 2 species